rnacentral:rRNA from 1 species
GAUGAACGCUGGCGGCGUGCUUAACACAUGCAAGUCGAACGAUGAAGCCCAGCUUGCUGGGUGGAUUAGUGGCGAACGGGUGAGUAACACGUGAGUAACCUGCCCUUGACUCUGGGAUAAGCCCGGGAAACUGGGUCUAAUACCGGAUAGGAGCGCCUGUCGCAUGACGGGUGUUGGAAAGAUUUUUCGGUCAUGGAUGGACUCGCGGCCUAUCAGCUUGUUGGUGAGGUAAUGGCUCACCAAGGCGACGACGGGUAGCCGGCCUGAGAGGGUGACCGGCCACACUGGGACUGAGGCACGGCCCAGACUCCUACGGGAGGCAGCAGUGGGGAAUAUUGCACAAUGGGCGGAAGCCUGAUGCAGCGACGCCGCGUGAGGGAUGACGGCCUUCGGGUUGUAAACCUCUUUCAGUAGGGAAGAAGCGAAAGUGACGGUACCUGCAGAAGAAGCACCGGCUAACUACGUG